rnacentral:rRNA from 1 species
AUUGAACGCUGGCGGCAGGCCUAACACAUGCAAGUCGAGCGGAUGAAGGGAGCUUGCUCCUGGAUUCAGCGGCGGACGGGUGAGUAAUGCCUAGGAAUCUGCCUGGUAGUGGGGGAUAACGUCCGGAAACGGGCGCUAAUACCGCAUACGUCCUGAGGGAGAAAGUGGGGGAUCUUCGGACCUCACGCUAUCAGAUGAGCCUAGGUCGGAUUAGCUAGUUGGUGGGGUAAAGGCCUACCAAGGCGACGAUCCGUAACUGGUCUGAGAGGAUGAUCAGUCACACUAGAACUGAAACACGGUCCAGACUCCUACGGGAGGCAGCAGUGGGGAAUAUUGGACAAUGGGCGAAAGCCUGAUCCAGCCAUGCCGCGUGUGUGAAGAAGGUCUUCGGAUUGUAAAGCACUUUAAGUUGGGAGGAAGGGCAGUAAGUUAAUACCUUGCUGUUUUGACGUUACCAACAGAAUAAGCACCGGCUAACUUCGUG